rnacentral:rRNA from 1 species
GGUGAACGCUGGCGGCGUGCCUAAUACAUGCAAGUCGAGCGAACGGACGAGAAGCUUGCUUCUCUGAUGUUAGCGGCGGACGGGUGAGUAACACGUGGAUAACCUACCUAUAAGACUGGGAUAACUUCGGGAAACCGGAGCUAAUACCGGAUAAUAUUUUGAACCGCAUGGGUCAAAAGUGAAAGACGGUCUUGCUGUCACUUAUAGAUGGAUCCGCGCUGCAUUAGCUAGUUGGUAAGGUAACGGCUUACCAAGGCAACGAUGAAUAGCCGACCUGAGAGGGGGAUCGGCCACACUGGAACUGAGACACGGUCCAGACUCCUACGGGAGGCAGCAGUAGGGAAUCUUCCGCAAUGGGCGAAAGCCUGACGGAGCAACGCCGCGUGAGUGAUGAAGGUCUUCGGAUCGUAAAACUCUGUUAUUAGGGAAGAACAUAUGUGUAAGUAACUGUGCACAUCUUGACGGUACCUAAUCAGAAAGCCACGGCUAACUACGU